GGAGGGAUGGCAGAGUCUGGUUUAAUGCGGCGGUCUUGAAAACCGUUGUCCUUCACGGGACCGGGGGUUCGAAUCCCUCUCCCUCCGCCA
rnacentral:tRNA from 1 species